CGCGUAGGUAAUCUACCCUCUGGCGGGGGACAACAUUCCGAAAGGAAUGCUAAUACCGCAUAAGACCACGCUCACUACGGUGAAAGCGGUUAAAGGUGCCUCAAAGCACCACCAGAGGAUGAGCCUACGUCCCAUCAGCUAGUUGGUGAGGUAACGGCUUACCAAGGCGAAGACGGGUAGCUGGUCUGAGAGGAUGAUCAGCCACACUGGCACUGGAACACGGGCCAG
rnacentral:rRNA from 1 species